UUUGUAGGCAAUCUCCCUUCGACAUCAUUAACUUGAAACCAGUUCUCAUCCGGCAAUGGCAUUCCAUGGAACAGACAUUUUCCCAUUAACUUUUCCACACAAAUUAAGUGUUGUCGAUUUGUUGAACUGCAGAAAUAAGUGAUUAACAUGGAGAAGGAAACAUUUACAAUAUGGAAUAAAACUGGACUACUUACUCCUACAUUUUUAAACACUUUAUUAUUGAACUUUUUGUUAUAUUCAAGUUGUAAUAACGUUUAAAAUAAAUAAAUAAAAUUGUAUA